GCGGGCGUAGCUCAAUGGUAGAGCCCCAGCCUUCCAAGCUGGCCAUGCCGGUUCGAUCCCGGUCGCCCGCUCCA
rnacentral:tRNA from 1 species